UAGCAGGCGAAGCAGGUGUUUGGGAAGCAGUUACCCAGGCAACAAAACCAGGGCGUUCCAGAGGUGGUUGCUAUGGAGAACUGGAUGCUGACGAAGGCUUGUGAGGCUGAGAAGACAAAUUGCCCUCAUCAUUAUCUCCAGGCUUGUCAAUCAUACAUAUUCGCUUAUUUACCUCUGAGAAGGCGAGAGCGCUAGGAGCGAAGAGGAAAACGAGAAAGUGUGUGCUCAAGAGAGGAGAGGUGUUUGUGUAAAACUUCACGCCAGGGGAGGCAGUCACCAUCCAGGAUGGCAACCAUCACCUGCACCCGGUUCACGGAAGAAUACCAGCUCUUUGAAGAGCUGGGGAAAGGUGCUUUCUCAAUUGUCAGGAGGUGUGUGAAGGUGUUGUCAGGACAAGAAUAUGCUGCCAAGAUCAUAAACACCAAGAAGCUCUCAGCUCGUGUGAUAGAUCAUCAGAAGCUGGAACGAGAGGCUCGGAUCUGCCGUCUCCUGAAGCAUCCUAAUAUAGUGAGGCUUCAUGACAGCAUAUCAGAGGAGGCACACCAUUACCUGAUAUUUGACCUGGUGACAGGCGGAGAACUGUUUGAGGACAUCGUUGCUAGAGAAUACUAUAGUGAAGCAGAUGCCAGUCACUGCAUUCAACAGAUCCUGGAAGCUGUCCUACAUUGCCACCAGAUGGGUGUGGUGCACCGGGAUUUAAAGCCGGAGAACCUCCUGCUGGCAUCCAAGCUGAAGGGAGCUGCUGUAAAACUGGCUGACUUUGGCCUUGCCAUUGAAGUGGAAGGCGAGCAGCAGGCGUGGUUUGGUUUUGCAGGUACUCCAGGCUACCUUUCGCCCGAGGUGCUCCGAAAGGACCCCUAUGGCAAAGCUGUGGACUUGUGGGCAUGUGGAGUUAUUCUGUAUAUUCUGCUGGUUGGCUAUCCUCCUUUCUGGGAUGAGGAUCAACAUCGACUAUACCAGCAGAUCAAAGCUGGAGCCUAUGAUUUUCCUUCUCCCGAGUGGGAUACUGUCACUCCUGAAGCAAAAGAUCUCAUCAAUAAAAUGUUGACAAUCAACCCAUCCAAACGUAUCACAGCGGCUGAAGCUCUGAAGCACCCAUGGAUAUCACACCGUUCCACCGUGGCAUCUUGCAUGCACAGGCAGGAGACUGUGGACUGCUUGAAGAAGUUCAAUGCCAGAAGGAAGCUAAAGGGUGCAAUCCUCACUACAAUGCUAGCAACCCGGAAUUUUUCUGGAGGGAAAAGUGGUGGCAACAAGAAGAACGAUGGUGUCAAGAAAAGAAAGUCCAGUUCCAGCGUUCAGUUAAUGGAAUCUUCAGAGAGCACAAACACCACCAUUGAGGAUGAAGACACCAAAGUACGAAAACAGGAAAUCAUUAAGGUGACGGAGCAGCUGAUUGAAGCAAUAAGCAAUGGGGACUUUGAGUCCUACACGAAAAUGUGUGACCCUGGGAUGACAGCUUUUGAACCAGAAGCUCUAGGGAACCUGGUGGAAGGGCUGGAUUUCCAUAGAUUCUACUUUGAAAACUUGUGGUCUAGAAACAGCAAGCCAGUGCACACUACCAUCCUGAACCCUCACAUCCACUUAAUGGGAGAUGAAUCUGCCUGCAUUGCCUACAUCCGCAUCACGCAGUACGUCGACACCAGUGGGAUCCCUCGCACUGCACAGUCGGAGGAGACCCGAAUCUGGCACCGCCGGGAUGGCAAAUGGCAAAUUGUUCACUUCCACAGAUCUGGAGCACCUUCUGUCUUACCACAGCGGGAACAUUCAAACACACAAGCCCCCACCUGCACUCUGGAAUGAUACAGUCCAGCAUCAGAUACUUCACGUGUGUCUGAUCAUCUGUUUCUGAUCUGAAGCACCAGCCCCUCAGGCCAGGUUUCUCACUGCCUCACUACAAAGGGAAGAUCCCUGCUAUCCUUUACCUAGGGAACUUGGCUGCUGCUGCUGACUCUCCUCCUUGGUUCUUGCUGGAAUUCCUUUCACACACAGAGCUCCUCACCAAAAUAAACCAAGAAUUUAAUAGACUUUUUCUCCUUCUGUUUCACACGCUCUGCGUUUUGCCACUUUGUGCCAUUGUAGUAGAACAGGGCAAGACACCCUAUUGCAUGAAAAAGCUUUUCUGUGGUUAACAGGAGAAACCGAAUGUGGGAGGUAGCCUUCAGCCACUAUUGCCCAUAGAGCUCAUGGAACCACCCUGGUUCAGUACUUAAAAUUAACUGUGUUUCUCACAAGGACAUGAUUUAUUUUGGUCUCUUUGCUGUUUUCCACUAAGUCUUAAGGGGCCUGAGAGAAAGGGGAGCAUGUUCCAGGGCAGAAUCAGAAGCCACCUCCUUGCAAUGGCAGAUUGAUGCCCAUCCACACAAUGGAAAGUUCUUGCUCGAUUAUGAUCUCAGCCAAAAUCAGAAAUACUUUUAUACUGCCCUUCGUUACCGAAAUUCCAGAUCAAUAAGCAUACAUGCAACGCAAGAUUCUUGCUUGAUCAUGACCUCAAUCAUUUUAUUUAUUUUUAAAUAUUUCUACGCCACCAUUCAUUAUCUAAAUCCGGAGCAGUUCGCACUGCGCCGCUGUAACUCAUACCUACAUCUACAUCUUCUGUUCUGUGUGAAGUUAAAAUUUUACAAGUAUCAGCCUAUAUUCAUUAAAGCCUAGUAAAAUUCUGCUGGGAUGAAUAUGGCUUUAUGGCGCAUAAAAUGCAGAAUCCAUUUCUCUUCCCAGAGAAUGUACCUUUUUGUGUGCCUGGACCAAUAGGGGUUCAUGACAAUUCCUUUCUCUUUUCAGAACUUGCAUGGAAUGAAACUGUUAACACUAUAUUGGCAUUAUAAUGUGUCUAAGAGCACAUAAAUAAAUGAAAUGAUAGGUUAGAAAUUCAGCAUGGCAGCAGGGUAUUUUUCACCUUAUUUGUAAUGCAGUGAUAUAGUUGAGGCAGUUUCUGCCACUAUCCAGCACACCAUAGGAACUUCCUUUAUUCAGCUUAGUAAGGAUCUCCUAGAUGUUUCAUUUUGUUUAGAAUUCAGUUUUCUUUGAACUGGCCUUUUGCUCCUUUCUGGCAGGAUUUUGAGUCAUGCUUUUUCCCUCUGUCCCUUCAAGACUUAGAUUCACCAUUAAGAGGAAGAGGGGAGGCUGAACCUUUUUAGACCCACAAUUUCCCACAUACACACUUCAGGCAAUUUGACAGCAUUGAAGAUGCGGGCACUAUGGAAACAGAACUGCCCCAUCAAUUUGAAAUAAAAAUAGAGGCCAACACUAUCCAGCAAAGACAGAGAAUGCAAGCUUUACUAAUGACGCUUUGAGGCGUUUUGAUUAUGCUUUCAACAAACAAAAUGAAAUCUUUCGCUAUCUCUUGUACUUUGAGCGCAUGCCUUUUUAUAUGAAAAACAAACAAACAAAACCCUUCCGUGUUAUUUCGUAAAUGGAUUUUGAGUAUUUGCUAAAAUUGAUCUUUAUGUAAUACCUAGAAAUAUCAAUUGUUUGGGUUUGUGGCUGAUUUUUAAU